rnacentral:rRNA from 1 species
UACGUAGGUGGCGAGCGUUGUCCGGAAUUAUUGGGCGUAAAGGGAGCGCAGGCGGGAGGUUAAGUCUAUCUUAAAAGUGCGGGGCUCAACCCCGUGAGGGGAUGGAAACUGGUCUUCUUGAGUGCAGGAGAGGAAAGCGGAAUUCCUAGUGUAGCGGUGAAAUGCGUAGAUAUUAGGAGGAACACCAGUGGCGAAGGCGGCUUUCUGGACUGUAACUGACGCUGAGGCUCGAAAGCGUGGGGAGCGAACAGG